UCCAUAUUAAUGCUCAUGAUUUUGGAUUGAGAUGUUCGAUGAGCAGGUGUCCACAUACUUUAGGUCAUGUAGAGUAUCUUACCAUUAGCUAGCUGCCACAAAGGCUAAUGUGACUGGCCUUUAUGUUCUAGUUACAGAGUCCGAUCUGCAGCAGCAUCUACAUCAAGCUCAGCACCAGGAACUAGUACAAAUCCUGAAGCUGCGGAUGAUGACCUAAAUACCAACUUUAGUAGUACAGAUCCCGUAGACCCAUUGGAUGAAAUCUUUCGGCCCAGUAACAAGCUCAAGCUCAUCUGACUUGGAAGAGGAAAACACUACACGGGACCGGCAAGAGCCAAAGUGUAAAGUCUAUGAGUCCAAGGUCAUGGAGCUCAUGAAGUUCUGACAGCCAAUCAUCUCUACAGACAUUGGAUAWGUUGGGGCCACAAUGAAAGUGAAGUGCGACUGUAAUGAUGGACACACAGGAACAUGGACCUCCAGUCCUGACAUUCAGGAAAUGGCAGAGGUUCAGCUUCUCAUGGCUGUGUCUGUGCUGUUUUCAGGAGGCACUUACACCGAGCUGCAGGACGACUCAGACCAUGAACCUGAAGUUGUUUGCCAACACCACCGUCUAUCAGAUUCAGAACACCUACCUGUUUACAUUCAUAAAUGCACAAUAUGGGUAACGAAGGAAUGCUAUUUUGCAAAAACUGUUCCUGGAUCAGGAGGAAAAUGGUGUUGAAGCACAGCUGUCUGGGUGUGCACGCAGCAACAGUCCAGGCUACAGUUACAGUCUUGUCUCAUCGCUGCAACUCUGUACGGACUCA